rnacentral:ncRNA from 1 species
NNNNNNNNNNNNNUGUUGCGGUUAAAAGCUCGUAGUUGGAUCUUGGGGCCGGGCUUGCGGUCCGCCGCGAGGCGUGUCACCGCUCGUCCCGGCCCUCCCUGCCGGAUUCUCCUUGGUGCUCUUAACUGAGUGUCUCGGGGUGCCGGAGCGUUUACUUUGAAAAAAUUAGAGUGUUCAAAGCAGGCCUGGUGCCUGAAUAGUGGUGCAUGGAAUAAUGGAAUAGGACCUCGGUUCUAUUUCGUUGGUUUUCGGAACGUGAGGUAAUGAUCAAGAGGGACGGACGGGGGCAUUCGUAUUGCGGCGGGAGAGGUGAAAUUCUUGGAUCGCCGCAAGACGAACCACUGCGAAAGCAUUUGCCAAGAAUGUUUUCAUUGAUCAAGAACGAAAGUUGUGGGCGCGAAGGCGAUCAGAUACCGCCCUAGUCACAACCAUAAACGAUGCCAACCAGCGAUCCGUCGGCGUUACUUCGAUGACCCGAUGGGCAGCUCCCGGGAAACCUGAGUUUUCGGGUUCCGGGGGAAGUAUGGUUGCAAAGCUGGAACUUAAAGGAAUUGACGGAAGGGCACCACCAGGAGUGGAGCCUGCGGCUUAAUUUGACUCAACACGGGGAAACUCACCCGGCCCGGACACAGUAAGGAUUGACAGAUUGAGAGCUCUUUCUUGAUUCUGUGGGUGGUGGUGCAUGGCCGUUCUUAGUUGGUGGAGCGAUUUGUCUGGCUAAUCCCGAUAACGAACGAGACUCUGGCAUGCUAACUAGUUUGGCGAUCCCGUGCGAUCGGCCGCAACUUCUUAGAGGGACAGCCGGCAGUAAGCCGGACGAGAUGGAGCAAUAACAGGUCUGUGAUGCCCUUAGAUGUCCGGGGCCGCACGCGCGCUACAAUGAAGGCAUCAGCGAGUUUUUCGCCUUCGCCGAAAGGUGCGGGUAACCUGCUGAACCGCCUUCGUGCUAGGGAUCGGGGAUUGCAAUUAUCUCCCAUGAACGAGGAAUUCCCAGUAGAUGCGUGUCAUCAGCGCGCGUUGAUUACGUCCCUGCCCUUUGUACACACCGCCCGUCGCUACUACCGAUUGAAUGGUUUAGUGAGGUCAGUCGAUCGGCCCCUCUCGGGCCGGCAACGGUCUGGAGGAGCGCCGAGAAGCCGAUCAAACUUGACCAUUUAGAGGAAGUAAAAGUCGUAACAAGGUUUCCGUAGGUGAACCUGCGGAAGGAUCAUUA